AUGGCCUAAGUUUUUGGUGUUGAAUCCCGUUUUUUUUUUUUUUUUUUGAAAGGAUUUUUGGUGUUGAAUCUUAAGAACAUAAAAACUAAAACUGGGGAGCGUAAUUUUAAUGUUUGAUACUUCCUCCGUCCUCAUAAAAAGUACUCCCUCCGUCCCUAAAAUAACUUCAUCUUUUUCUAUUUUGGGAUGUCCCCCAAAUAACUUCCUCUUUCUUUCUUUCCAUUUUUGGAAACCUACCCCACCACUAAUAAUACUUUAUUUAUUCUUACUUUUCACUUUUCACCACA
rnacentral:lncRNA from 1 species